GUGUCGUGAUUGGGACACCUUCUCAAUAUUUCUUAGAACCUCUCCCAAGCAUCAUAUAAAGAUUCCCUAUCAAUCUGAAAAAAGUUAUUGAUUUCUCCUCUUAACCU